rnacentral:rRNA from 2 species
AGGGAAUAUUGCGCAAUGGACGGAAGUCUGACGCAGCGACGCCGCGUGAGCGAUGAAGGUCUUCGGAUCGUAAAGCUCUGUCCUUGGGGAAGAAGGCGAAAGCUUGACGGUACCCAAGAAGAAAGCCCCGGCUAACUACGUGCCAGCAGCCGCGGUAAUACGUAGGGGGCGAGCGUUGUCCGGAAUUACUGGGCGUAAAGGGUACGCAGGCGGUCAUGUAAGUCAGAUGUGAAAUCCUAAGGCUUAACCUUAGUAAGCAUUUGAAACUGCGUGGCUUGAGUGUCGGAGAGGGUAGUGGAAUUCCCAGUGUAGCGGUGAAAUGCGUAGAUAUUGGGAGGAACACCAGUGGCGAAGGCGACUACCUGGACGAUAACUGACGCUGAGGCACGAAAGCUAGGGGAGCAAACA